rnacentral:rRNA from 1 species
AUCGAUAUGAAUUUAAUUUUGGUUCUGAUUGAACGUUUUUCAGUAGUUUUAAGACAUGCAAAUCGUUGUUCCUAACAGUUUAUCUUUAUGUUAUGUUUUAUGAAUCCCUUGCUAAUUAUUCCUUGAUUGUGAUUGGAUGGGAAUCAUAACAGGGGCUAAAUAAAAAAAAAAUAAAGAUAAAAAAUAAGAAUAAGGUGUAAAGGUGAGUAUUUUAAAUCAGAUACCUUAUAGACUCCUUAAUUGGGAGAUAAUAUUAUUUCAAAAUCCUCCUUUCGCAUUCAUUCUACUUAUGAAUGUUUUGGUUUUUUUUAUACCAAUACGGAGAGGAUGAUUAGAGAUACUUAUUAGGGUAAUAUCAAAGGCUACACCUUCUAGUCUUUUCUAAUUACUUUUUGUAGUAGGCUUCUCCCUUCUACGUUUCCUACACGGAAUGACUCAAAGAGUAAUAAGGGGGGAGUCCAUAUGAGUAGCGUCUUUGACUUUACUUUAGCAACAUAUGAAUCCCUUGUAAUUUAUCCUAAUAAGGAAAGUAAUAUAUAAAUUAGCUAUUUAUAAAAAAAGGGAAAUUUUCUGCUAUAAGAUUCGAUUUAUUUUGUUUAAAGGUAGUUGGUAGGGUAAAUGCCUAACAAGCCUACGAUCAAUAGCCAUGUUUGAUAGAGCAGAUGGCCACAUUGGGAAUGGAAAGCCCCAAGUAGUGAAAACUACCAGCAGUCAAGAAUAUUAGUCAAUGCUCGCAAGAGUGAACUAGCUAACUGAAAUCACAUGAUCCAUGCUUUUUGUUGGUUAUUGUGAUAACGUAAGGGAAAAAAAAUGAUAUUACCUUACUAUUAGUGUUGUCCAAAACUGGUGCCAGAAGACUCGGUAAGGCCAGAGACGCGAACGUUAGUCGUCCUAAUCAGGCGUAAAGGGUGUGUAGGCUGCUUUCAAAAUCAUAUCUUUCAAAUAGCUAUUAUAACGAAGCUCUGUUUAAAUACAAUAUAUACCACUUUAAAUAUCUUCAAUAUAAGGUAAGAUCUGAUGAAUAAAAGCUAGAAUCAAAACGAGGAUAAUACAAAGAAUACUUAGAGUAGGGUCGAUAUCCUAAGAUACUAAGUGGAAUACUAAAGGUGAAAACUAUUUAUCUAGAAAUGAUUGACGCUGAGAAACGAAGGUGAGAAUAGGAAAUAGGAUUAGAUACCCAGAUACCUCUCACUGUUAACGAUGAAUGGUGGUUUGUUAGUUUAUAGAGAAACUAGUAACGAUGCUAACGCGAUAACCAUUCCGCCUUGCGAGUACGGUUGCAAAACUGAAACCAAAAAAAUUAGUCGGUCUCGAAGCAAACGAAGUGAAGCAUGUUAUUUAAUACGAUAAUUCGCGUAAAACCUUACCAGUUCUUGCAUAUCCAGUCCUUAAUCUUAAGUGGUUCUAAAUGUCAAUUUAGUACUAUUUAAGGUUAAAGAUUGAGUAGUUUCUUUACUUAAAGAAACUCGUUUACAGGUGUUGCAUGGCUGUCGUAAGUCCGUGCUGUGAGAAGUGAGGUUAACUCCACUAACGGACGAAAUCCCUGUUGUUAAUUUAUACUUAACAAUUAAUGAAUUUGACAAUUUUUCAUUUGGGGCUAAGACAAGCCGUUAUGGCCCUCAUGAACUGGGCUAUCGACGUGCCACGAGAACUUUUACAAAGUGACGCAAAACCUAACCUCUAUACUAAUGCAAUAUUUUAGUUAAUAUUUAAAAUAGAAUAAAUAUAAUUUAUACUUUUUGAAAUAAUAAGGUUUUAAGGAAUAGCAAAUCAUUAAAGAAAGUUAAAUAACCAAAUAUAUGGACGGAUUGCCGCCUGAAAUUCGGCGGCAUGAAGAAGGAAUUUCGAGUAAUCGUUGAUCACUAGCGCAACGGUGAAGAAUGCAUUCGGGAUGAACUAACUGUCUGUCGCUGGGAAGGAGCUUGAAUUGGGGGAAACUGCCGCGAAGUUAUUAUUUUUUUAAGGCAAACCUAAUUUAAUAAUAUAAGCAAAACCUAAGAAGUACGAAGCCAAGGGUUAUUUAUUAUUAAGUAAAUUAAAUUUUUUGAAUUUAAGGGUAGUUUUAUGCUAAGCUUUAAUCUGACCCUUAGUCCCCCUGAUUAAAAAGGAGACCAAGGGGAGGUAGAAGUAAUUCUAAUUUAAAGUAUUAGUCAUUUAAAUAUAAAUAUAAAUAUAAAUAUAAAUAUAAAAAAAAACACCUUUCUUAAGAUAUUUAGUUUCAGUUAACCCUUUUAAGUAACAUCUCAAAAGUCAUAGCAAGGUAGCUGUACUGGAAAGUGCCGCUGGAAAAUAAAUAAA